AUGAUCAGGUCUGCCAUCCGAGUCCUUUAUCUCGAUAUACGGUUUCUUCUUAAUCCGAUUCAGGUCUUCGUGCAAGCCGUCGAGUAAGAACGCCAUGAGUUCUUGUGAAUCUUGCUGCUGAUAGCCCGAGAAUUGUGGGGCAAAUCUACCUACCGCUGUCUUGAACUGCCUCGGAGAUAUCACACUGUAUUUUCCCGACCACAUUUGAUGCAUGAGCCCGGCGUACGCAUUCGCGAUCUCACCACGCAUGCCCAGUGGAUUUUCAUUGUUCAGUUCGGUCUUAUAGCAAUCGUUGACGAAGUACUUGGUAAGUGAUACGCAGUUGCUCAGACAUUGUACGGCGGAGUUCAUAAAACAAGUGUUACCGAGAUUCGUGAGACCACAAAGACCGGGAUGACUCGGUGACUCCCGCGCGUUGUAUUCGUUGUAGUAACUUGAAUAUCCACUUGUACUAGAGUGGCUCGAGUACGGACUG